rnacentral:rRNA from 1 species
UACGGAGGGUGCAAGCGUUUGUUCGGAUUUAUUGGGCGUAAAGCGCGUGUAGGCGGUUUCUUAAGUCUGAUGUGAAAGCCCUGGGCUCAACCCAGGAAGUGCAUUGGAUACUGGGAAACUUGAAUACGGGAGAGGGUAGUGGAAUUCCUAGUGUAGGAGUGAAAUCCGUAGAUAUUAGGAGGAACACCGGUGGCGAAGGCGGCUACCUGGACCGAUAUUGACGCUGAGACGCGAAAGCGUGGGGAGCAAACAGG